GACGAACGCUGGCGGCGUGCUUAAUACAUGCAAGUCGAACGGAAGGGCCCGGAUCUUGUGGGGCGCUCGAGUGGCGAACGGGUGAGUAACACGCGAGUAACCUCCCCUUGUCUUUGGGAUAACAUCAGGAAACUGGGGCUAAUACAGGAUAGGAGAUCCUGCUGCAUGGGGGGGGUAGGAAAGUUACGGCGGUUGGGGCUGGACUGGCGGGUUAUCAGCUUGUUGGUGGGGUAGUGGCUUACCAGGGCUAUGACGGCUAGGCGGCCUGAGAGGGUGACCGGCCACAAUGGGACUGCGGUACGGCGCAGACUCCUACGGGAGGCAGCAGUGGGGAAUCUUGCACAGUGGGGGGACGCCUGAUGCGGCAACGCCGCGUGCGUGAUGCCGGCCUUCGGGUUGUGAACCGCUUUCGCCUGUGACGAGGCGUGAGUGACGGUAAUGGGUAAAGAAGCACCGGCUAACUACGUG
rnacentral:rRNA from 1 species